CUGGAGACUGGACACUCUCAGGGUGGAUCCUGCUGGAGUCAGAUAUUUGAGACCAGGUCUGAGGAGGUAUUCCUGUGAACUCACACUGGACAC